GGAGCCUCAGGAAGCCCCAUUUGAGGUUUUCUGUUUGGGAGAGUGUCAAGAGUGCCAGAGAAAGUGACUACUGAGAUGAGUCUUGGUAGAGGACUAAGUAGCCUUUACCUUUGCAAAGAUGUGUGUGUGUGUCUAUGUGUGUGUGUGUGCAUGUGUGUGUGUGUGUGUGUGUGUGUGUGUGAAUUUUCAGGAGUGGAGUAGUCUGGGCAUUUAAAGAACAGGUAACUAAGUAGAUAAGGAGAGAGACAAACAGGCAGUGUGGGUGUGCAGGGAACAACAGGCUUUGGGUUCUGCUGAGGUGUAACAGAUUCACAGAACUUUUUUGAGCUGUGACAAUGCAACUUACACACCCUGGGAGGCUUUUUCAGGCUUCCCUUGGUUUCUAGUGGGAUCCACACAAGUAGGGCUUGAGGCAUUUUGUUAUAAGACACCUUGCCUCCUGCACCAGGCUGUGUUUGUGUUUCCUUCAUCUGUCUUUUGAGCAUCUAGAGAGGGAAGGGAAGGAAGAGGCUGCUAACAAGAGCGUUCUUUCUGACCUUCAGUCUUCCACUGCAUGAAGACAGGCAUUGGUUGCUUUAACAGAACUGUUCCAAGAACAAACAGGCAGUCAGAAGAAAAUGAAAGCUGGA
rnacentral:lncRNA from 10 species